rnacentral:rRNA from 1 species
AACGAACGCUGGCGGCAUGCCUAACACAUGCAAGUCGAACGAGACCUUCGUGUCUAGUUGCGCACCGGUGCGUAACGCGGGGUAACCUACCCUUAGGUUCGGAAUAACUCCCCGUAGGGGGUGCUAAUACCGGAUAAUGUCUUCGGACCAAAGAGUUAUCGCUGUUGGGUGGGCGCGCGUUGGAUUAGCUAGUUGGUAGGGUAAAAGCCUACCAAGGCGACGAUGCAUAGCUGGUCGGAGAGGAUGACAAGCCACACUGGGAAUGAGACACGGACUAGAAUGGUACGGGAGGGAGCAGUAGGGAAUAUUAGAGGAUGGGCGAUAGUCUGACACAGCAGUGCGGGGGGAGUGAGGCAGGGGUUAGGGUUGCAAAGCCGUUUUACACGGGAUGAUAAUGACGGUACCGGGAGAAGAAGCACCGGCUAACUACGUG